UACGUAGGGUGCUAACGUUGUUCGGAAUCACUGGGCAUAAAGAGCGCGUAGGCAGUCUGAUAAGUCAGGUGUGAAAUCCCCCGGCUCAACCGGGGAACUGCACCUGAUACUGUUGGGCUUGAGUGCAGGAGGGGAGAGCGGAAUUCCUGGUGGAGCGGUGAAAUGCGUAGAUAUCAGGAGGAACGCCGGCGGCGAAGGCGGCAUCCUGGACCGGCAUUGACGCUGAGGCGCGAAAGCUAGGGGAGCAAACGGG
rnacentral:rRNA from 1 species